GCGGACGUGGCGAAAUCGGUAGACGCAAGGGACUUAAAAUCCCUCGGGGUUAUCCCCAUGCGGGUUCGACCCCCGCCGUCCGCACCA
rnacentral:tRNA from 1 species